UUCCUGUCAGUUCAGUCUGUGUGGUGUUAGGUUUCAUUACUCUGUAAUCUGGUUUGCUUUAUGGGUUCCUUGUUCGUUCUUAGGUUUGGUGUUUCUUAUGUUCCUUCUAGUUUCUCGGUUCAUGAUUAUUCUUUACUCUCAUGCUUCAUUUCAUUAUUUGUUUAUAGCUUCAUUUUGGUAUUGUUUAUUAGUCCCUCGUCAUGUUUUAAUCUAUGUAUUGUUUUCACCUGUUCCCUCUGCCUUCCUGACUCCUUGUCUCACCUGUUCUUAGUUCCUUUGAUUACCUGCCUUUGUUCUCCCUCUGUAUAUAAGUUGGUUUUGUUUCAUUGCUCUUUGCUGGUUUCUUGUCGCUCUCAGUUGCUGUCCUCGUUCAUGACAUGUUCCUGCAGUGUCGCAGCCUUGUACGUUUUUUUUGGAUUCUGGUUCUGUGUUGUACCUCCAGUGAUUACGUUACGUUUCUGAUCCUUUAAAUAAAAUAAGGAUUCACUUAAGAUGCUGCUUCCAAGCUCUUGUCUGCACUUCGGUCCACCCCAAAACCUCAACGUGACAAACAGAAUACCACUUUCCCUUUUUUAUGGACUCAUAAAAAAUUGCAUGACAGUAAGAAGAGGAGCUACAAUUUUUUGCAGUCUCCAGGCUUUGUAACAAGAAAUUGGGAAAACCCGCCAAAAGUCAAAAGCUUGUGAAGGACUAAAUUUGAAUCGCCUUCUGAGCAUCUGACGGUAUAGGCGAGAGCUUGGAAAAGAAACAACAAGAACAAUGAAACAAAUACUGCUGGGGAGUUUCCAGAUUUCCUGUAAAUGCAACUGUUCCAUCUAAAUCAAGGCUGAAUGAUGUCUAACGACAAACCUGAAUGCAUUGUACAGCAAUUUUAUUUAAUAGACAACCCAAAACAGUGCAUAACUGUGAAGCAGAAGGAAAAUUAUAUGUGUGUUUUUUUUUUAUCAUUUUGUCAAACAAAAUCAGAAAAGUGUAUGGCACCCUGUACAUGUCAUCCUCAGAGUAAGACAUGGUGGUGGAAGCAUCAUGCAGUGGAAGUGUUUUUCUUGAACAGAGAAGCUGGUCAGAGUUAAUAGUAAGAUCGAUUAAGCUGAACACAUGGUAUUUUUUCACCAUUUGUCAGCGUUUGUAUUUUUGAGUGUGAUUGUAUAAGCCCUGUAUAAAUUCAGUCCAUCUAUUUUCCCUCAGUUUCCCAGAUCUGCUUCUUUUCCAGCUGCUCCACAUUGCAAAGACUGAUUACACCUGCUUCCCAUGCCACUUUUCUAUUAUCUCAGUACAUAAAAGCUUCACUACUUUGUUGCCUCCAAGCCAGAUUCUCUGUUCUUCACUGUAAGCUUCCUUUAUGCUGGUUCUCUUUGCCCCAGUUGAGUUAAUGUUUCCAGUCACUUAUUAUUCAGCUCUCUCAUGCCAGUUCUAAGUCUUUCAUUCAGUGACCAACAUGUGGCUACCGCUGUCCUGUCUGCACUUGGGUCAAGGCCGUAACAAUCACUGAACAUGAAAGAGGAAUCUAUUUGCAUAGGGCCAGCGGAAAACUAUCUCCACUGAGGAAUUUAAUUGAUUAAAAUCAGUGGCGAGGGAAUGCAUGUAAUAGAUGAUGGUGGACUGCUGGAGAACAACCCCAAACUGCCUCCCCUCGCUAUCAUAAUAAACUGUGUCUACUGUGAAUCACCUCCAGGUCCUAAGAAUUACCCAUUCUCAGGACAGGAACUGACUCCUCAGACAUAGACACUGUUAGGAAAAAAGCCCAGCAGAAAUUGUACUUCCUGUGGCAAUGAAAGAAGCACAACCUUCCACAGGAGCUGCU